rnacentral:rRNA from 1 species
GAUGAACGCUAGCGGCAGGCUUAACACAUGCAAGUCGAGGGGUAGGAGAAGCUUGCUUUUCUGAGACCGGCGCACGGGUGCGUAACGCGUGUGCAAUCUACCUUUCACAGAGGGAUAGCCCAGAGAAAUUUGGAUUAAUACCUCAUAGUAAUACGCCUUGGCAUCAAGAUGUAUUUAAAGAUUUAUCGGUGAAAGAUGAGCAUGCGUCCCAUUAGCUAGUUGGUAUGGUAACGGCAUACCAAGGCAACGAUGGGUAGGGGUCCUGAGAGGGAGAUCCCCCACACUGGUACUGAGACACGGACCAGACUCCUACGGGAGGCAGCAGUGAGGAAUAUUGGACAAUGGGCGCAAGCCUGAUCCAGCCAUGCCGCGUGCAGGAUGACGGUCCUAUGGAUUGUAAACUGCUUUUAUACAGGAAGAAACACCUCUACGUGUAGAGACUUGACGGUACUGUAAGAAUAAGGAUCGGCUAACUCCGUGCCAGCAGCCGCGGUAAUACGGAGGAUCCAAGCGUUAUCCGGAAUCAUUGGGUUUAAAGGGUCCGUAGGCGGUCAGAUAAGUCAGUGGUGAAAGCCCAUCGCUCAACGGUGGAACGGCCAUUGAUACUGUCUGACUUGAAUUAUUAGGAAGUAACUAGAAUAUGUAGUGUAGCGGUGAAAUGCUUAGAGAUUACAUGGAAUACCAAUUGCGAAGGCAGGUUACUACUAAUAUAUUGACGCUGAUGGACGAAAGCGUGGGUAGCGAACAGGAUUAGAUACCCUGGUAGUCCACGCCGUAAACGAUGGAUACUAGCUGUUGGGAGCAAUCUCAGUGGCUAAGCGAAAGUGAUAAGUAUCCCACCUGGGGAGUACGAACGCAAGUUUGAAGCUCAAAGGAAUUGACGGGGGCCCGCACAAGCGGUGGAGCAUGUGGUUUAAUUCGAUGAUACGCGAGGAACCUUACCAAGGCUUAAAUGUAGUUUGACCGGUU